rnacentral:lncRNA from 1 species
CUCUCUUACAAGCCUACUUUAAAUUGGAAAGCCUGUCUCGCUUGUUUCGGUGUGGUGAGUGAAAUGGAGAAGGCUAAACUUUUUCUUCCCACAUGCUCACUUCCUUGCUUGUUCGCUAGCUGCUGCAUCUGGCCCCUCAAGGGUAAAGUCAAGGGGAAAAGGAGAUUGAGAGGAAGGACAGUCUGUGAAUUGGGUCUCACCGUGUUUCCCAGGCUGAAGUACAGUGUUGUGAUAUCAGUUCAUUGCAACUUCUGUCUUCUGAGCUCAAGCAAUCCUCUUGCCUCAGCCUCUCAAGUAGCUGGGACUGACUACAGGCAUGAACCACCACACCUGGCUAAUUUUUUUUGUAUUUUUGUCGAAAAGACAGUUUCGCCAUGUUGUACAGAACUACUUCUCAAAUCACUAUUCACAUCCUGGUAGAAGUCAAGCAAUGAAGAUGGCACAGAAACACAUCCCAAAUACUAUGAUACCAUAAAGUAUACUGUAGCAAUGCAUUGGCACACCCUCAUUUGAACAUUUGUCUCAGAAGAUUUUGACAGAAGAUAAAAUUGUCUGGUUUUUAUUUCAUUGGUUUCAUGAAAAUUUAUUUCACUGGUUUCAUGUCACAGGCCCAUGACUGUAUAAAGAGUCAUAAUCUUUACAAACACAACAAUGACUCACAGCGACAUGUUGCAAAGCUGUAAUCGAAAACACUGAUGUUGAUUUCAGAGGCCAUUAAUGGUGUUAAGAAGGCGCUUUUGUUAACCAAAUAAUUGAAUACUCGUAAUUACUUUUCAGUUCUAGUUCAGUUCUUGACACCAAAACAAGCCAUUUUCUUUACAUAGUGAAUGCAGAACUUGCCAGUAAGAACUUUCAUACUAAACUUCUAUGUAAAACAAAACAUGUCAAAAUCAGUAACUACUUUAAUGGAAUGGUAAAGAAUUUACUUAAACACAAAGGAAUGAAAAUAUCUCUGCAAAUAUGUCUAUUGACUUUUCAAAUUUGGUGACUUCUUUCGAAUUAAUUCCCUUACGUCUGUUCCUCAUCCACAUAAAAAUGACAAAAAUGAAAGAUAAUUUUCCAGCCUAUAAUUAAAUUUCUCCAUUGUUGGUAUAUGUUUUUUCAAAUACAUUUUUCAGUUUUCAUAAUUCAUAUGAGAAUUAUUAAAAGGGAGUUAGUUGCCUUUAGGACCU